rnacentral:lncRNA from 11 species
UUACCUUCCCGCUGUAGCAGUACCUAUUGAUCUACUCACAUUUGCAUGUUUUCAAACUGCUAGGUUGGCAGAAGCUGGUCUAACAGCAGGAGCUCAUCCCACUCCCUGGAUUCGAACCGCCGACCUUUCAGCCAACAAGUUCAGCAGCUUAGCGGUUUAACCUGCUGUGCCACUGGAGACACCGGUUGUUAUUAGUCAGAGACAUUUGGAAACCCUCCAGUAUGAAUCAGAGGAACAAAAGUCCCUGAAGCAGGCCCCCUCCCCGGUUUUCGGCAAGCCAAAGAGUUCAGCAGCGCAGUGUGAUGCGUGUCGGCACAUCAGAUACAGGGCUGUGGGUGUUCAGAGGGCAAUCGGAGAUCAUACACGGCCUUGGCAAAACUUUGUGGAUCCUGUCUCAGCUUGACCUGAAACUGUAACCUUUUGGAACUGCAACAGAAGUCCCUUCCAGCUUAUUCCUGUCUGGGAGCAGCAGAAAGAUUGAAAUGCAUCAAAGAACCUUUUGAGGAAAGGUAUGAAAUGCACCACAUCUCCCAAAAGUAUGAGGGGAGGGGAGGGGAGAG